rnacentral:sRNA from 1 species
AUGCUAGUCAUGGACUGAAGUCUUCUGUUUAUUUACAGAACAGAGACAAUAUGGGCAGUAGCAAUGGAAGUUCCUACACUCCCCUGCCAAUGUGUGUCAGCACGUGGGUAUGUGCUAUUAAGUGCAUUGCUUUCCACAAUCAGAGUCCAUA